ensembl:snRNA U6 U6 spliceosomal RNA
GUGCUCACUUUGGGAGCACAUAUACUAAAACUGGAACAGUACAGAGAAGAUGAGCAUGGCCCCUGAGUAAGGAUGACAUGAAAAUUUGUGAAGCAUUCCAUAUCUUU